UUUUUUUUUUUGGUUAAAACUUUAUGACUCUAUAACUUCUAUACCGUGAGGCCAAACUUGGCAUGUGAUACCUUUUCGGAAAGCCCAAAGAGAGCCCUCCGACGAAAGAAGCAAGACAAUGGAACUUUUCCAUUGACUUUUUGUCGACUCCAAAUUUUGACCUUUAAGUACUUUUUCGGGCAUUUUCGUGAUUUGUGCUAUAUUACGGACCCAAAAUUACUUUUUCAAGCAUUGUUUUCGAAUAUUUUUCAUGCAUCAAAGCUCGUUAAGACUAGAUGGGGUAUCCCUACAUGGCGGGUGGGACCCACGGCGAACGGUUCAUCAAGACUUAAAAAAAGAAUAUAUACGAUUGCAUUGCAUAUACUAACGGAUGCGAUCAUACCAGCACUAAUGCACCGGAUCCCAUCAGAACUCCGCAGUUAAGCGUGCUUGGGUGAGAGUAGUACUAGGAUGGGUGACCUCCCGGGAACUCCUCGUGUUGCAUCCCUCUUUUUUUUU
rnacentral:sRNA from 1 species